rnacentral:rRNA from 1 species
UGUAAGCGUAUACCAAAGUUGUUGCAGUUAAAACGCUCGUAGUCGGAAUUUGGCAGUUCCGGAUGUGUGCACGUCGUGUGCGCACUUCGCGGGGAUUGCUUUUGUGGUCUUGCGUAGGAUGAGGCACUUUUAUUAGUGAACGUCCUCACGCAACCACUUUUUACUGUGAGAAAAUCAGAGUGCUCAAAACAGGCAUUUGCCGUGAAUGUAUUAGCAUGGAAUAAUAGAAUAGGACUUGGUUCUAUUUUGUUGGUUUGUUGGGACUGAGUAAUGAUUAAGAGGGACAGUUGGGGGCAUUUGUAUUUCGGUGCUAGAGGUGAAAUUCUUAGAUUACCGAAAGACAAACUGCUGCGAAAGCGUCUGCCAAGGAUGUUUUCAUUGA